AUAAUCUGCCUUGUGUCGUUUUCUUGGGUCCCGAACCAAGAGAACGACACAGGCCAGAAAGGAAAACAGGUGGCUGAAGAGCCUAUUUAAUAUCAAUAGUAAAAUUUGCUUCAUUUAGAAGCACUAGACCUCUCGUCGUCGACACAGUUACAGAAACCGAAUCAGCUAUUCAAUGGGCUUGUAUAAGGCAGAAACAGACUGAAGCCAUUACUCUCAAAAUUGUAACCAAAACAAACGGCAGCAUUACUUGGAAUUUCAGCAAAGCGCACUCUUGCGCUUUCCAUCAUUCAAGAGAUCAUGAUUAUUCCCGCUAUUUCUAUGUUAAACCAAGAACUGAAAUUACAAUAACAAAUCAAGUUAACUUCCUGUCAUGCCUCAUUCACAUAGCUAAGCUUACUUUAAGUAUUAGGUAUAGUCUUUACCAUAUUUCUUGGUGAAGUUUCAUUUUUGUCUCGUCUUUUAUACUGAGGAUCAUCGUACCGUAAGAAGAAAUGUCUGGACGCGGAAAGGGUGGCUAGGGCUGGCGAAGGAAGGUGCCGAACGUGAACGAUUCGCAGUCUUCCCACACAUAUGACAAGAAAUGACUGAACGUGGAAAGCAAGGAACGGAGUUGGAUAAUGGACGUGUAAAGCGCCACCGUUACUGAAAGUGAUUCGUGACAACGUCCGGUGCAUCACCAAGGCACGAGUCUUUCCGAGACAUAGACAAGCAAGGCCUGCCGGGAAAAUGUGGGCAAAGGAGGUGCCAGGCAUCCGAGGAGACAGUGGUCCUGGCGGAAGCGUCUUGGUGCCACUUCCCAUAGUUGGAUUCGUUGAAAGUCGUCUUCAUCAGCUUCUUGAGAAGACAUUUCAUAACUGGAUGUUUAGGGGACAGUCCGUAUGUCAAUCAUCUCUACAAGACCUGAUGGACAUCAGUCUUUCACGGACAUAUGACAAGAAAUGCCUGGACUUGCUAAGGGCGAAGGAGCUGGGAAUGGAGGCUUCAGGUGCUACCAUCACUGAUGGUGCUUCGUGGCAACAUCCAGUUCAUCACCAAGCCAAGGAGUCAUUCAGUCUCUCCAAGGCUCCUUUUGCACGCAGGGCUUCAGUCCGUUUCUGUGUUAUACAGGCCCAAUGUGUGACUGGUUUGGUUUCUGUGGCUGUGUCGAUGGUCGGCAUUGUUUUUAGCGUUACUCUAAAUUCUGUUUUUUAGAAAACAGGAACUUUCCUGGUUCACCAUCUGGUGUCAUAUCUGUUUUAUGUCGUGGUCAGUGGUUGUCGGGGACCUAGACCAUUACAUAAUCUGCCUCGUGUCGUUAUCUUGGGUCCCGAACCAAGAGAACGACACAGGCCAGAAAUGAAGACAGGUGGUUGAAGAGCCUAUUUGAUAUUAGUAGUUUAGUCCUUUAGACACACUAUACUUUUUGGUGUCGACACAGUCACAGAAACCGAAUCAUUGCAGACAGAAUUGCAGACAAAGUGUACAUUAUGUAUAUCAAGUUGUUAGAUUCAUGUAGUUAAGCUUGCCUAUUCCCAUAUUUUUGAGUCAAGCUUCAUGUUGGUCUCGUAUUGCAAAGAGGUUUGGAGAUACUGAGCUGUGUAGACAUGCGUCUUUUGUAAGUAUUCUUUGUUUUGAAUAUAUCAUAUCAUGCCAUUCCAGUACAGGGUGACUGUCUUUUGUUGUCACUUAGCCUUUGUGUUAAAAAUGCAUUUCAAUUGUAUUAUUGCAAUUCAGUAGAUCGAUUAAUAUUGUCCGUUUAUUGAUGAGUAUAGGUUGUUUGUAGCCUUUUAAAUCAGUCAUUUGGAAAAAUCCCCACCUAAGGCUUAGGCUGACGCUAACACUAACACAAAGACACAGACACGCACACACACUAACAAACUAACCCUUCCAAACACACAAUAACAUACUGAUGCAACAUCUUUUUGUCGAACACUAAUAAUCAGCUCUGCCUAAGCCUUAGACUACAAAAUAACUUUCUAUUCUUCGUCAAGUACAAAGGCGCCAAGCUACCUCUAUACCAUGUAAUGACAAUGUUACAUUUACUGAUCUGAUUUUGGCUCUGUUGGCCACCGUGUCCUAGAGUAAGGGUAAUUGUUAAUCUAUGUAUGGAAGAUGUUAAGAUUUCAGUUCAAUUUUUAAAGUUUUAUAUAGUGCUUGUGUAUUUUUCUCAAUUCAUUGUGUGUUUUUUAGAUUUGCACACUUAUGUUUGCAUAUAUCUAUUUUGUCAAUAAUUGCUAUCAAAUAAACAGUUUGAAAUCAAAUGUGUAGUGUUUAUUCUACCCUAGAAUUGAAAGGAAUGGAUUGUUUCACCCUCCCCACACCCUCAACUAGACGUAAAAUGGAUAGUCCUACCUCCCAAUAUGAAAAGGUUGGGUUCCUUUCCCCAGACCCUUAACCCCACGUGAAAUGGUUGGUCCCUCCUUCCCCAUACCCUUUCCAAGAAACUUUAACCCCACGUGAAAUGGAUGGCCCUCAUUCCAUAUCCUCAAUCCCUUGUGAAAUGGAUGGUCCCCGUUCAUAGAUCUUUAACGCCGCGUAUACCCCAUGCAUAUCAAAUGGCUGGUCCCUCCCUUACCAGACCCUUAACCCCUUGUUAAUGGAUGGUCUCAUUUUCCCCAGAUCCUUAACCCCAUGUGAAAA